UACAGAGGGGGCAAGCGUUGUUCGGAAUUACUGGGCGUAAAGGGCGCGUAGGCGGCCUGUUAAGUCGAACGUGAAAUCCCCGGGCUCAACCCGGGAACUGCGUCCGAUACUGGCAGGCUUGAAUCCGGGAGAGGGAUGCGGAAUUCCAGGUGUAGCGGUGAAAUGCGUAGAUAUCGUAAGGAAGACCAGUGGCGAAGGCGGGUCUCUGGACAGUUCCUGACACUGAGACACGAAGGCCAGGGGAGCAAACGGGG
rnacentral:rRNA from 1 species